AACAAAUUAUGCAUUAUUCUGUUUUCAAUCUUCACAACUCACUCUCCUAAAAUGCACUAAUACUCGACAUACUCGACCUCGUCAUAAGGGUAAAAAAAGUUCUAAAAUGUGUAUAAUUUGUAUAUUUUGUAAAAGGUGGGUAUUUUUUAAGUUUUGUUUUUCAGAACGAGUAUAUAUCAUUUUGCCCCCAUUUACGGUUGGUCUUUUGUUUCAGCUGUCACUUACAUAGACUCUAGCGCUGUUCAAGCUCUAAAAGACUUGUACCACGAAUACAGAUCACGUAACAUCCAGAUAGCCGUUUCCAAUCCGAAUCGAGACGUUCUGCUGACUCUAACAAGAGCCGAGGUGGUCGAUCUAAUAGGCCGAGAAUGGUUCUUCGUUCGCGUGCACGAUGCAGUCCAAGUAUGUCUACAGCAUGUGCAGAGCUUAACCGAUUCUUCCAUGAGCCAAUCUCCAUUGCUAGAGAAGAAAUCAAGCCUCUUCAAUCGACUACUGAAACAGAGAUCAGAAGAAGCAGCCCUGUCUCAGUUGGAGUCGGGAAAUCGGGAGAUCUCCGCCUCGAGAGACGACGCCGGCCAUCUGGAGCCACUGCUGUCAAAGAAGACCUGAGAACAACAGUGAUGGUGGUGCCAUUGUCUGGUAAGAUUAUAUGGCAAAUGUAUGUACAAUUGUGUGUCCAAUUCUUUGCAUAUAGAUAUAUAUUGGUUUGAAUGUGUUUAUUUGUUUCAACCUACUCUUUGAGUUAUAUUGUAAUAUGAUUCUAAAGAAAAGAAAAUGUGAAGUGCAUUUAUUGUUA